rnacentral:rRNA from 1 species
UCAUAGCGACUAUCGUGGCAUAUCAAUAAGCGGAGGAAAAGAAACUAACAAGGACUUCCCCUAGUAACGGCGAGUGAAGCGGGAAGAGCUCAAAUUUGAAAUCUUAAAGGGUUUCCCUUUACGAAUUGUAGUUUAAAGAAGUGUUUUCUGUUGGAGUUUCGGUAAAAGUUCUUUGGAAUAGGACAUCAUAGAGGGUGAGAAUCCCGUAUUUGACCGUUACUUUCCAGCUGUGUGAUACACUUUCAAAGAGUCGGAUUGUUUGGGAAUGCAGUCCAAAAUGGGUGGUAAAUUUCAUCUAAAGCUAAAUAUUGGCGAGAGACCGAUAGCGAACAAGUACCGUGAGGGAAAGAUGAAAAGAACUUUGAAAAGAGAGUUAAACAGUACGUGAAAUUGUCAAAAGGGAAGCGUUUGGACACCAGUGUUGUUUAGUUGAAAAUCAAUUCAAUAAUUUUUGAUUUUAAGUAGUAUUGACUUCAUCAGCUUGCUGCUUUCUUUUCUGAAAUUAUUGAAUGCACUUUUCAGUCAACAAGUCAACAUCAAUUUCUUUUGUUGUAAAAGGGUAAGAGGAAGGUGGCUUACGCUUCGGCGUAAGUGUUUAUAGCCUUUUACCUCUGCAAUCGGAGAGAUUGAGGACAGCAGCGUAGACUCUUCGGGGUUAGAUACACUUGUGCUAAGCUAUAGCCUUGUAUAGACAACUUGUUGACUAUGCUCAGUCAUGUAGCUUACUCGCUUGUGCUAUUUUACCUACGCUUAGGAUGUUGAUAUGCAUGACUGAUAU